rnacentral:lncRNA from 1 species
GUAACUUUGGACAAAUAAUUUUCUUCAGAUGGAUGCAGAUAUCUCAGAAAAACGACUUUUACUGAAUUUCUCGUGUUGCUAUUAGAUCUUUGAAUUAUGUAAAUUUAAUUUCAUAGUUUUAAUAAAUGACACCUGGAAGACCACAAGAAAGUUUACACAUCCAGGCUCUGAGAAUGUAGUUCAGUGGUAAAAUACUUUCCUACCACGAGUGAGGGCCUGAGUUUUACCCCCAGCACUGCAAAAGAAAACAACAAGUAGAACAACAAAAAAAUACUCAGGAUGUACAGCUAAACUAAAGUACACUGAACUUUGUCUAGAGCCCUAGCAUGAAACAACAUGAAUCAAGAAAAUCAACCUAUAGCAAUAUAGUUAGCACAAAGAUGCAAUAUCAUCUACCAGCAAUACUGGGGAGAAACCCUUAGAACUGAAACAUGAAAAAUAAGUAAGUCUUUACUGAUCCAACAUCAGACGCAAAUUAUUGAAAAUAACAUGAAUGCUAAUAUUUUAUUCUCAGUCUUUGCCCAUAAAAUAGAGAUAAUUCACAUGUGCAGUUCAACAAGUGAUUAUUAGUAUAGAUGCUCAUAUAAUUCUAACCUGAAGUAUUGGGUUGUCCUGUAUUAUCUACAGUAGAAAAAGCAGCAAGGCCCUAUACAUCAACAAUAGAUUCUCUAUGGGAUAAAUUAUUCUAGAUAGAUUUGUGUGCUAAGUUGGAUUAAGUACCAUUCCUGUCUCUUUAGCACAAAAAUAAUAGCAGGAAUUUUUUUGAAGAGGGGCAGGAGAGAAGCUUGGAUCCCUAACAGGGCUGCUUACAGAUUACUUAUGGACUAGAUACCUAUGGCAAGGAGAGACGUAAGUUCUGAAGCUCAGCUCACCUGUUGUGUUGAGGGCCCUAUCCAUGGUCACGCCUCCAUAGUGCUAUUCUAGAUACAGUUGACUCAGACUGUGCUUGGUUUUCCAUUAUGGAAGGAGAGAAAUGGAUUUGGGGUGACAUUGUGCCACAUUUUGAGAGUGAAUGUUUGCUCUGAGGAAGCUUGAAGAAAAAGGCACCUUCUGGGAGGACUAAGUAAGGCCAUAAAGAUGAGCAAGAAGUAUCUAAUCCUCUCAUUUUUUUUUUUCUUAGACUGUGGGAACAGUCACAGGGAAAAAAGAAAUGAGGCUAUCAAGAGAAGUAUGAUGGAUUAUUUCCAAAUGUAGCCCCAAUAAUCUGUUCUAUUCUUAACCCCUUUUUGCAAUGUGACAUUGCCACUUAUCAGGUAGUAAAGUCUGUUUUUCUUCUCCUUAAAUCUAGGGUCGCUCUUGCUUUGAGUUAGAGAGUGUACUGUUGUUACUUUGGGGCCUACUGGGCCUUAAUAGAUAUAUCUUUCA